rnacentral:lncRNA from 1 species
GACCCAGUUGGGUCCCCGUUCCGUCGGUCCCCUCCUCUGCACACGCCUCUAGCCUUAUACCCCGUCUUGAUCCGAAAGUUUUUCCACCCAUGAACCCCCAGUUGGCGCUCCCCGACCAGCAAAAGCCCCUUCCCUGGUCCACGAUCCCGACCACCCGGUUCUCCAGGAGACAAUACUCCAAUUCUCUGGAAAGUGGAAGAAACCAAGCUGAAGCUAGGGGGGCGCUGGGACCCCUAUUGGGGCUUUGAGAGCUUCCGGUUGUCAUCUCCUAAGUAUUCGGAGACCCUUCUCCAAAACUCUUGGGGUGACCCUCAAGACUCUUACCUGCUAUAUAGUUGGGGGUCUCUGGUCCUGGACUAGAGCAGUAGGCAACCUGGGUCCCCCCACACACACGGGAAAGAAUUGGAGGGGCCUGCCUUGUGAUGUCACCCCUCCUCCCCCCACCGCGCGCACGCGCGCGCGCACACACACAAACACAAACACACACCCCAACACACACGCCCUGUCCCCUUUCUCCACCCUGCAAGCUAGUUGCAUUUAGCUCACAGAGCCUGGGCUGCGACUUGAAAGAGUUUAGGCAGCAACAGAGUGACCCUGGGGGUGCUCUUGACCGACAGCCGCACCCCCGGCGUCUAGGACCUCCGAGCAGGGAUGCAUCUGGAGGUCUAGGGAAGCACUUCCACCCCCUCCUCUCCUCAAUCCUGGCAGGAUGGCUACUGCUGCUUCAAGACAGUGACGUUUCUCUCCGGUCAGCUGUCAGGAGCGCUGGUGAGCUUCCUACUGUGCCACAAGCUGGGUCUUACUGGGGAUCUGGCCAGCCUUGGGGGCCCUUGGAGCCCUGGCCCAGUGGAAGCUCGUGCCUGAGGAACAUGGAGGCCACGCUAAUGAGUUACUUCCAGAGUCUUCAAGAGUGCCAACUGGGACCAGGACCCCAGACCACAGCCCCCCACACCGUCCUGGACCUGGAUUCUGACUGUGGUUCCACUGUACCCCUCACCUUAAUCUCUGGUUCUAACCAGACCUGAGCCUAGACUUCCACUUUUUCCCUUACCCCUGUGAGGGCCUGGGAACACUAGGUGGGCAGGGUUUGAGCCCACAGGACCUGCACACAAACUUCCCCACCUCUUGGACUUGGGGACAGGAUCUGUGCCUCAACCCAGACCAGCUUUGUAGGGAUAUGUUCCAAGAACAGAGAAGAGUCUUAUGGGGAAGGGGGAGGAAGGGAAGUAUGAAUAUUUACCUCUGACCAAUAAUAGAGGUGCCCUGGUCCCCAAAGAAAUUGACUCCCGAAUUCCCUCCAAGCCUUACCCAUAUAGCUUUUGUUUGUUUGUUUGUUUUCAGACAAGGUCUUGUUCUGUCCAGUGCCGUGGCGUGACCACAGCUCAUGACAACUUUGAUUUCCCCGGCCCAAGCGAGCCUCUCAUUCAGCCUCCUGAGUGGCUGGGACCACAGACGCCACACACAGCUAAUUUUUAUGUAUUCGUUUUUAUUUUUUUGCAGAGACAGGGUCUCCCUAUGUUGCCCAAGCUGGUCUUGAACUCCUGGGCUCAAGUGAUCCUCCUGCUUCAGCCUCCCAAAGUGCUAGGAUUAUAGCCACCGCACCUCGUCUUGAAAUAGCCUUUUAAAUGUUCACCUCAGCUUGCCUCACAGUGGUAAAAAUAAGCAUUUUUUUGUUUUGUAGGAUCAGGGAGCUUCCAAGGCAUUUGAUACCUUUUUGAUGGGAAGAAGGGCUCUGAGGAGCUCCAAGAUACCCCAACCUCCAGGCCCUUCAUUAGGGGGUAGUUGGGUUUCUGUUUGGCCUUUCCCCCUGGGCCCCAUAGGCUUAAACUACCCCCACCCCCACCUCCGCCUCCUACCUCAGCUGGGAGCACUGUCUUCCAUGGGGCUUCCACUUCUCUCCUCAACCUGGGGAAGACCACAGGGCAGUGCCUGCCUCAGGACCUGCCUUCCCCAAAAGCUGGCUUCUUGCUCCAAGGAGAGAGCAUUGACCCACCUGCCAGAGUCUUGCCUUUUGCCCAAAGGAGCCUGGUCUUCAGGGCUGCAUAGGAUGCAAGUGCCUUCUCUGCUUCUCACCGUGGGUGGCACUAAUUUCCUCCUUAACCAGAACUUUGUUCCAGCCACUGACCCAUUCUAACUCUUCCCCCUCUGACUCUCCUGCGCAGGGUCUGUUCCUGGUUUCCCAGAUGCAUAAAGGAAGACAUAUCCCUCCCCUGGGCAGCAAGGCUACAAUGGGAGGGAGGGAGAACAUGGGAGCAUGUGAAUAAAAUGGCAUUAAAUACUGAACCAGGGAGUCCAGCCUCUGCUGUUGCUGCUCUUU